GCUCAAAAACUUAAAAAGCAUUAAGGGGAUGCCUAGGUGUCAAAUAAAUUUAUGAACGUUUAGUAAAACGAAAUGUCAGAAGUAAAUUAAGGAAAAUUUUUGAUCUCUGACGAUUCAUUCACAGGAAACUGUUGCUCAAUGCAUUUCAAUUUGAAAAAAAACGAGGGGAACUGAAACAUCUAAGUACCUUUUGGAAAAGAAAUCAACCGAGAGACCGUAAAUAGUGGCGAGCGAACGCGGUUUAGGCUUAAAAUGUUAAAAAAUUUCUUUUGAAUACCUGUGCCAUAGAGGGUAAAAGCCCCGUAAAAAGAAAAAUUUCGCAUUUUUUUAGUAUUACGUUAUCAAGUUAUCUCGUAUGAAUAAUGGGGUACCAUCCUCAAAGCCUAAAAAAUAUUUGACAACCGAUAGUGCACAAGUACCGUGAGGGAAAGGUGAAAAAAGAGGACACUCCCAGUGAAAAGAACCUGAAACUUAAUGCUGUUAUCUCUAGGAGCUUUCAUAGUGACUAGUUACCUUUUGCAUAAUGGGUCAGCGACUUUGUAUGUAUGGCGAGCUUAAACUAUUAGGUGUAGGCGUAGUGAAAACGAUUAAUAAAUAUUAAGUCAUGUGUGCAAAACCCGAAACUGAGUGAUCUAACCAUGAACAGGCUGAAGAAUUCACGGUAACGUUUUUCGAAGGGCCGAACCCGUGUAUGUGGCAAAAUACUGGGAUGAUUUGUGGUUAGGGGUGAAAGGCCAAUCAAACUCAGAGAUAGCUGGUUUUCUGCGAAAUCUAUUUAAGUAGAGUGUUUAUUGCAAUGUCUGAGGUAGAGCUCUCUUUUAGUGCGGGGUUGUAUAUCUUCUACCAAUCUUUUGGAAACUUCGAAUGCGGAAUCAUUUGCUAUAAACAAACAGACUUUGGGUGCUAAGAUCCAAGGUCGAGAGGGAAACAGCCCAGAUUGAACGCUAAGGACCUUAAAAAUACAGAAGUUAAAGGAAGUUUAAAACUUUAAACAGCCAGGAGGUAGGCUUAGAAGCAGCCAUCCUAUGAUGAAAGCGUAGCAGCUCACUGGUCUAGGUUUUUUGCGCCGAAGAUUUAAUGGGAUUAAAAGUAUUUUCCGAAGCGGCAAAAUCCGACAGAUUUGUCGGAUUGGUAGCAGAAUGUUCUGUAAGUUUAAAAAGCCAAGCUGUGAGGUUUGGUGAAGACAUCAGAAGUAAGAAUGCUGACAUAAGUAACGAUAAAGAGUGUAAAAACACUCUCGCUGUAAACCCAAGGUUUUCGACGUCAAGCUAAACUUCGUCGAAGAGAAAUUCGAUACAUAAAACGGCCCCUAAGAAUAUAGUGAAAACUCGUUUCGAUGGGUAACAAAAUACUGUUUUGGAAGUUGUGACAAAGGGUUCGAAUUUUGUUUAAAAAAUAACAUUUUUUUGCAAAUUAAUCUUUUCAAGAAAAAGCACUUCCUUUUGUACCGUACUGUAAACUGACACAAGUGGGUGGGUUGAGUAAACUAAAGCGCUUGAGAGAACUGUGUAAAAGGAACUCGGCAAAAUGGCUCCGUAACUUCGGGAUAAGGAGUGACUUUUGAUUCAAAAAAUGUUUUAAGAGUUGUCACAAAAUCGGAAGAAGUAACUGUUUAACAAAAACACAGGUCUCUGCAAAUUCGCAAGAAAAGGUAUAGAGGCUGACGCCUGCCCGGUGCUGCAAGGUUAAGGGGAUAUGUUUUGGCAUUGAACUUAAGCCCCAGUAAACGGCGGCCGUAACUCUGACGGUCCAAAGGUAGCGAAAUUCUUUGCCACCUAAUUAGUGGCCUGCAUGAAUGGCGUAAUAACUUCUUUACUGUCUCUUACACAGACUCAGUGAAAUUGAAAUAUCCGUGAAGAUGCGGAUUACUCACAGCUAGACGGAAAGACCCCGUGCACCUUUACUGCAUUUAUUAACUGCAAAAAUGUUUUUAUUGUGUAGAAUAGGUGGGAGCGCUUUACUAAUCUUUUUGGUUAUGUAAGUGCGAUCGUGAAAUACCACCCUUUAUUUAUGUUAUUGCUAACUUGUUUAUACAAGGACAGUUUAUAAUUGGUAGUUUGACUGGGGCGGUCGCCUUCUAAAAGGU
rnacentral:rRNA from 1 species